rnacentral:rRNA from 1 species
AUGCCUUGGAUUUUUAAGCAACUCAAUAGUAUGUCGGGCAUCACUUGUGUUAGUAACUUGAAGCAAUUAGGUGAUUUCUUUUUGGCAGUGUUGGGUGAUUCAGAUUGUGACACACAAACUCUGGUUACUAUACUGCAUCAGGAGAAGAGUAGACCAAUAAAGAAAUGUGCUGUUAAGGUGACUGACAGCAAACCAAUAGAUUCGGCUGACUUUGUGAACAUGUUAUUUUACGGAAUGUCACACCUAAUUUCUGCAAGAUAUGGCUUUGCUGGACUGAGUAUUAUUAUCACUUAUUUGCUGGUGUUCAUAUAG